UACGAAGGGGGCUAGCGUUGUUCGGAAUUACUGGGCGUAAAGCGCACGUAGGCGGACAUUUAAGUCAGGGGUGAAAUCCCAGAGCUCAACUCUGGAACUGCCUUUGAUACUGGGUGUCUUGAGUAUGGAAGAGGUGAGUGGAAUUCCGAAUGUAGAGGUGAAAUUCGUAGAUAUUAGGAAGAACACCAGUGGCGAAGGCGGCUCACUGGCCCGGUGCUGACGCUCAUGCACGAAAGCGUGGGGAGCAAACAGG
rnacentral:rRNA from 1 species